UUGCAGGCAUGAAAGAAGACUUAUUGGAGAGAAACGCUCUGAAAAUAUUCAGUGUGGUAAAGACUUUGCAAGUCAUAGUUAUCCUCAAAGGCAUGAAAGAAUUUAUACUGGAGAAAAACCCUAUGAAGGCAUUCAGUCUGGUGAAGCCUUUGUACAUCAAAAUAGUCUCCAAAUAAUACAUACUGGAGAGAAACCCUACAAAUGCAAUCAAUAUGGUAAAGCCUUUGCACAACACAGUACUCUGCAAAUUCAUAAAAGAACACAUACUGGAGAGAAACCCUAUAAAUGUAAUCAAUGUGGUAAAGCCUUUGUAUUUCAUAAUACUCUCCAAGUACAUAGAAGAACACAUACUGGAGAGAAACCCUAUGAAUGUGAUCAGUGUGGUAAAGCCUUUGUAGCUCAGAAUGAUCCUAAAAGACAUGAGAGAGUUCAUACUGGAGAGAAACCUUAUAAAUGUGAUCAAUGUGGUAAAGCCUUGGCAUAUCAUAGUACUCUCCAAGUACAUAAAAGAUCACAUACUGGAAUGAAACCCUAUGAAUGUAAGCAAUGUAGUAAAUCCUUUGCCUCUCAUGAUCAACUUCAAAUUCAUGAAAGAAGUCAUACUGGAGAGAAACCUUAUAAAUGUAACCAAUGUGGUAAAGCAUUUGCAUAUCGUAGUACUCUCCGUGUACAUAAAAGAACACAUACUGGAAAGAAACCCUAUGAAUGUAAGCAAUGUAG
rnacentral:lncRNA from 1 species